rnacentral:rRNA from 1 species
GACGAACGUUGGCGGCGUGCUUAAUACAUGCAAGUCAACUGAAGCAGUGGUAGCAAUAUCGCUGUGGAGGUGGCGCACGGGUGAGUAACACGUAGGUAAUCUGCCUUCAGGUCUGGCAUAACUCCGGGAAACCGGGGCUAAUAGCAGAUGAUGCAGCGGCUCGACAUCGAGACAGUUGUUAAAGCUAUGGCGCCUGAAGAUGAGCCUGCGUCUGAUUAGCUAGUUGGCGGGGUAACGGCCCAUCAAGGCAACGAUCAGUAGCUGGUCUGAGAGGAUGAUCAGCCACACUGGAACUGAGACACGGUCCAGACUCCUACGGGAGGCAGCAGUAAGGAAUAUUGCUCAAUGGGAGAAAUCCUGAAGCAGCAACGCCGCGUGAGGGACGAAGGGCUUUUGCUUGUAAACCUCUGUAGUGAGAGAAAAAAAUCCCAAUCUUUGGGACAUGAUGGUAUCUCAAAAGUAAGCCCCGGCUAACUACGUG